GACGAACGCUGGCGGCGUGCUUAACACAUGCAAGUCGAACGGAAAGGCCCUGCUUUUGUGGGGUGCUCGAGUGGCGAACGGGUGAGUAACACGUGAGUACCUGCCCUUGACUUUGGGAUAACUUCAGGAAACUGGGGCUAAUACCGGAUAGGAGCUCCUGCUGCAUGGUGGGGGUUGGAAAGUUUCGGCGGUUGGGGAUGGACUCGCGGCUUAUCAGCUUGUUGGUGGGGUAGUGGCUUACCAAGGCUUUGACGGGUAGCCGGCCUGAGAGGGUUACCGGCCACAUUGGGACUGAGAUACGGCCCAGACUCCUACGGGAGGCAGCAGUGGGGAAUAUUGCACAAUGGGCGGAAGCCUGAUGCAGCAACGCCGCGUGCGGGAUGACGGCCUUCGGGUUGUAAACCGCUUUCGCCUGUGACGAAGCGUGAGUGACGGUAAUGGGUAAAGAAGCACCGGCUAACUACGUG
rnacentral:rRNA from 1 species